rnacentral:rRNA from 1 species
UACGUAGGGGGCAAGCGUUGUCCGGAUUUAUUGGGCGUAAAGAGCGUGUAGGCGGCCUGAAAGGUCAGCUGUGAAAACUCGAGGCUCAACCUCGAGACGUCGGUUGAAACCAUCUGGCUAGAGUCCGGAAGAGGAGUGUGGAAUUCCCGGUGUAGCGGUGAAAUGCGCAGAUAUCGGGAAGAACACCCGUGGCGAAGGCGGCACUCUGGGGCGGUACUGACGCUGAGACGCUAAAGCGUGGGGAGCGAACAGG